UUUGUUUUGUACAGUUGUACA
rnacentral:piRNA from 1 species